AUUGAACGCUGGCGGCAGGCUUAACACAUGCAAGUCGAACGAGUGGCGGACGGGGGAGGAAUGCUUGGGAAACUAGCUUAUGGAGGGGGAUAACUACGGGAAACUGUAGCUAAUACCGCGUACCAUAGGAUGAGCCCAAGUGGGAUUAGGUAGUUGGUGAGGUAAAGGCUCACCAAGCCGACGAUCGCUAGCUGGUCUGAGAGGAUGACCAGCCACACUGGGACUGAGACACGUCCCAGACGCCUACGGAAGGCAGCAGUGGGGAAUAUUGCGCAUUGGGAGCAACCUGACUCAGCCAUGCCGCGUGAAUGAAGAAGGCCUUCGGGUUGUAAAGUUCUUUCGGUAGCGAGGCGUUAACUACAGAAGAAGCACCGGCUAACUCCGUGCCAGCAGCCGCGGUAAUUC
rnacentral:rRNA from 1 species